CGGCAGGCCUAACACAUAGCAAGUCGAACGGUAACAGGAAGAAGCUUGCUCUUGCUGACGAGUGGCGGACGGGUGAGUAAUGUCUGGGAAACUGCCUGAUGGAGGGGGAUAACUACUGGAAACGGUAGCUAAUACCGCAUAACGUCGCAAGACCAAAGAGGGGGACCUUCGGGCCUCUUGCCAUCGGAUGUGCCCAGAUGGGAUUAGCUUGUUGGUGGGGUAACGGCUCACCAAGGCGACGAUCCCUAGCUGGUCUGAGAGGAUGACCAGCCACACUGGAACUGAGACACGGUCCAGACUCCUACGGGAGGCAGCAGUGGGGAAUAUUGCACAAUGGGCGCAAGCCUGAUGCAGCCAUGCCGCGUGUAAUGAAGAAGGCCUUCGGGUUGUAAAGUACUUUCAGCGGGGAGGAAGGGAGUAAAGUUAAUACCUUUGCUCAUUGACGUUACCCGCAGAAGAAGCACCGGCUAACUCCGUGCCAGCAGCAGC
rnacentral:rRNA from 1 species